rnacentral:rRNA from 1 species
UAAUACGGAGGAUGCAAGCGUUAUCCGGAUUCAUUGGGUUUAAAGGGUACGUAGGUGGCCUGUUAAGUCAGUGGUGAAAGUUUGCCGCUUAACGGUAAAAUUGCCAUUGAUACUGAUGGGCUUGAGUGCAGAUGAGGUAGGCGGAAUGUGUAGUGUAGCGGUGAAAUGCUUAGAUAUUACACAGAACUCCGAUUGCGAAGGCAGCUUACUAAACUGUAACUGACGCUGAGGUACGAAAGCGUGGGGAGCGAACAGGAUUAGAUACCCUGGUAGUCCACGCCGUAAACGAUGCUCACUCGCUGUAUGCGAUAUAUAGUAUGCGGCCAAGCGAGAGCAUUAAGUGAGCCACCUGGGGAGUACGCCGGCAACGGUG